GUUGUACUGCGCAUGCGCCGCGGCGGCCGCUGAGCGUGCGGGAGAAGUUCGGGAAACGGAGAAAAAAACUAUACGGAACGUCCCAAGCUGAGAGUCAGGGCGGACCUGGACUCGGCGCGCCUAGCUCCUCGGCUCCCUUUGCGGGGACUCCAGGAGUCUGCCCGCUCGCGCCGUUUCGUCCUGUCACCCCGGCAACGGGACCCUCUAAGAGGCUUGUUCCAAAAAUGUUCACAAUGGGGUUUUUAAAAACGGUUUUGUUAGGGACAAGUGCUUGUGUGAGUCCUCCGACAAUGCCUGCUUUCUUCUCUCUGCCCGCGGAGCGGAGGCUCCAGGCCUGGCCCCAGUCCGAGGCGCCUCUGUCGGUGUCGUCCUGCUUCCAAAACCGGCCUCCAGAACCCGCCUCCUUCCAGAACCUCCGUCCAGAACCCGCCUCCCUCCAGAACCUCCGUACAGAACCCACAUCCUUCUAGCACCUGCCUCUGGAACCCACGUGCUUUCAGAACUACCUGUUUGUAGAACUUGUUUCCAGAACGAACCUGCUUUCCGAAUCUCUUUACUUCCAGAGCUUGUUUCCUGGACUGACCUAUUUUCAGAACCUACUUUCAAAACCAGCUUGCCUCCAGGACCACCUGCUUGGAGAACUGGCCUGCAGCCCCAGGACUGGACGACCUGAGACUGCACAGCUCCCUGCGGGGCUCACCCGGCUGUGUGUGUCCUUCCGGGCCUUCCAUACUUCCCUAGGUGUCUGGUGACUCCGGAGCCCGCUCGGAUUUCGUGUGGGUCUCGCCUCAGCUCAGAACACACCCUUUGAAGAGCAGGAAGGCCAGGGCACAGGCGGUAACCACGGCUCCUGGUCAUCAAGUUCCUCUGAAGCCCAGGUCUUGUCCACGUUCACUGCCCCACCACAGGCCCAGCGGAGCCUUGGAGCUGAGCCCUGGGAUCAUUCUGGUGCCUGUGCUCCCGGCUCCGCAACAAGCACACAGGAGCCUGUCAUCCCCAGAUCUAAAUCCUGAAGGCUAAGCUCCGUGGUCUGCCGCAGCCAUCUGCAGCAGGCCCCUCCCAGCAACAGCCUUCUCAUAAGGCCCCUGCCAGCCACGCGAAACCUCCUGGCUAGGGCCUGUCUUCCACUCCUGGCCUUUUGAGACAGGGCCUCACUCUGUUCCCCAGGCCGGAGUGCAGUGGUACGAUCACAGCUCACUGCAGCCUCCACCUCCUGGGCUCAUGUGAUCCUCCCACCUCAGCCUCCUGAAUAGCUGGGACUACAGGCUUGCACCACCACACCCGGCUAAUUUUUGUAUAUUUUGUAGAGACAGGGUUUCGCCACAUUGCCCAGGCCCAGGCUGGUCUCAAACUUCUGGGCUCAAGCAAUUCAUCUGCCUCAACCUCCCAAAAGUGCUGGAUUACAGGGAUGAGCCACCAUACCCGGCUUUUUUUUUUCUUUCUCCUGGCCUUUUGGGGCCCUUGAAGUGUCUGCUCCCUGGGAGCCCUUCAGCUUGUCGUCCACUUGGUGGGUUCCCACCCGUCCUUCUCACUUCUGCCUGAAUCACACAGGCUACAUGAGACCUUCACCCACCCCCUUCGCCAGCAGCUCUGUGGUUCAAGUUUCCUCAAGGUUAGGGGCUCCUGGCCAUCUUACCUGUGGGCCUGAGCAUGGGCCGAUGCUUCCAAAGUUCACACUGGGUGCACUUGUGUGGGGACUUCCAUGUGAGUCAUCUCCUUGCAGGCUGCCAAGGUCCUGUACAGCAGAGACCCAAACCCUCUUAGCAGUCUUCAGAGUCAGCUAUGUGUACAGGAGGCAUUACCAUAUCAGUGACUGUCAGCAAGCAUGUGUGACUGAAAUGGUAUCCAGUUCUUACGUAUUUGUUUUGCAGGCUUCUUGGUUCAGCAGACAGAGGCCAUUGGGAAGUUAAGAGAGGCUCUCAAACUUUGAGGGUCAUAAGACUUCCCCUCCCUGCAGGGUGCUGUUUCCUGAAGGAAAAUAUUCAAUUACUAUUUUCUUUAUUUAUUUAUUGAG
rnacentral:lncRNA from 1 species